rnacentral:rRNA from 1 species
GAUGAACGCUGGCGGCGUGCUUAACACAUGCAAGUCGAACGAGUGGCGAACGGGUGAGUAACACGUGAGCAAUCUGCCCCUGACUUUGGGAUAAGCACUGGAAACGGCGUCUAAUACCGGAUAGUCAGGGAUGAGCUCGCGGCCUAUCAGCUAGUUGGUGAGGUAAUGGUCACCAAGGCGCGACGGGUAGCCGGCCUGAGAGGGUGACCGGCCACACUGGGACUGAGACACGGCCCAGACUCCUACGGGAGGCAGCAGUGGGGAAUAUUGCACAAUGGGCGCAAGCCUGAUGCAGCAACGCCGCGUGAGGGACGACGGCCUUCGGGUUGUAAACCUCUUUUAGCAGGGAAGCGGUACCUGCAGAAAAAGCACCGGCUAACUACGUGCCAGCAGCCGCGGUAAUACGUAGGGUGCAAGCGUUAUCCGGAAUUAUUGGGCGUAAAGAGCUCGUAGGCGGUUUGUCGCGUCUGCUGUGAAACGGGGGGCUCAACCCCCAGCCUGCAGUGGGUACGGGCAGACUAGAGUGCGGUAGGGGAGAUUGGAAUUCCUGGUGUAGCGGUGGAAUGCACAGAUAUCAGGAGGAACACCGAUGGCGAAGGCAGAUCUCUGGGCCGAACUGACGCUGAGGAGCGAAAGGGUGGGGAGCAAACAGGCUUAGAUACCCUGGUAGUCCACCCCGUAAACGUUGGGAACUAGUUGUG